UUUAUACAAUGGAGAGUUUGAUCCUGGCUCAGGAUGAACGCUAGCGGCAGGCUUAACACAUGCAAGUCGAGGGGCAG
rnacentral:rRNA from 1 species